UGGAAUGGAAUGGUGACUAGAUUCAA
rnacentral:piRNA from 1 species